rnacentral:lncRNA from 1 species
CUCAAAUCAAUAUGCUUUAAAUUCAAACCGUAAAACAAGUCUAUGUAGUUGAAACUAUGAAGGAAUAAAUGCCUCAACAAAGGUCUAGAAAUUGUUGAGAAAUGCCAUCUUAUAUUUUCCAUGGCAUCUUCUUGACAUUGCCAUAAAAAAUGCCCAAUUGAGCCAUUCCAACCCAUAUUCAAAAUUCAAAAUGGUACAGACCUUUAACCAAUAACAAAUAAAUAAAACGACCAUUCAUUCUACAUUUCAAUUGAAAAAAAAAAAAAAAAAAGAUGCACUCAUACAUACAAUUAAGCAAACACAUCAUUGGAAUUAAUUACCUCAAUUGUGUCAAAUGAUUCCAACCAAGAAUAAACAGGCUUCCAUUCAGGCGGCUACAGCAAAUGAUUGAUCUUUUAAUAAGCCAAAAUAUGGUAGUAGUCGAUCUUAGUGGUGAAACAAUUUCAAGGAAAUAGACAAAUAGAGGUUUUGAGUUUAGAAAUAGCAACCCUAAUUUACCACAUAUUCUCUUGACAUCUUCUUCGCUUUAGCAAUCAGCACUGGUAUCACUGGGGCUCUACCAUCUCAUUUGCACCACCAAAAACCAUCUCAAGUCCCCACACGAUUAAAUCACUAAACUUUCUCAUCCUUUCCCUUUCUCUUCUUCGUCAAAACGAUUGUUUAAGUAUCUCCAUCUCUAUUUGAUUAUCCUCUGUCUCUUCAUUGCCUUGGUCAACCAACUCCUCAUUUCAUCUGAGGCUGACCCCCUUCUCAAUGGUUGGACCCUUGCUCACCGCUUCACUCCCUCCAAGUCGUUGCGUUUCUCCUCUGCUUUUCUCAUUUUGGACAACGGAGGAGAACUCCUGGGCUUUGCUCAGGGGAUUAGCAUAAUUAAAAAAAAAAAAAAAAAAAAGCCUUUGGAGAUGGGCCCAAAAGUUCAUGCCUG